rnacentral:pre_miRNA from 1 species
GUAGUACUCCCUCCGUCCGGAAUUACUUGUCAUCAAAAUGGAUGAAAAUGGAUGUAUCUAUAACUAAAAUACAUCUAGAUACAUCCAUUUCAAUGACAAGUAUUUCCGGACGGAGGGAGUAAUAA